UACGGUCCAAUCCACUACGCAACUCCAGGUAGAUGCCGUUGCGCAGAUUUACCGGGCCCAUAUUCUUCAAGACCCAAGUAAGGUUUUGGAAUUUGCUAUUUGCCUGUUCCCACCGAUGCCUGCCGCCUUGACAGACUGGCAGUGGUGGCAAUUUACAGGGGAAAUCUUUCAGGCUUCACAUGAGCACAUCUAAGGGCCACAGAGACCGUAGCAGCUGCCUGGCUGUAUCGAAAUGCAGGGAACCCAUCCAACACCCGCAACGGACGGAGCACUUGUGUCGGGG
rnacentral:lncRNA from 1 species